GGACGAACGCUGGCGGCGUACCUAAUGCAUGCAAGUCGAACGCAUUCUUCGGAAUGAGUGGCGCACGGCUGAGGAACACGUGACUAACCUACCCCGGUGUGGGGGAUAACGGGUCGAAAGACUCGCUAAUCCCGCAUACGAUAUCCUUUGGAUAGGAAAGCCGUAAGGCGCACUGGGCGGGGGUCGCGUCCCAUUAGAUAGUUGGUGUGGUAAUGGCGCACCAAGUCGAUGAUGGGUCUCUGGUCUGAGAGGACGACCAGACAGAUUGGGACUGAGACACGGCCCAAACUCCUACGGGGGGCAGCAGCAAGGAAUUUUCGGCAAUGGGCGCAAGCCUGACCGAGCAACGCCGCGUGGAGGAUGACGGCUCUUGGGUUGUAAACUCCUUUUGGGGGGGACGAUAAUGACGGUACCCUCCGAAUCAGGCCCGGCUAACUACGUGCCAGCAGCCGCGGUAAUACGUAGGGGCCAAGCGUUGUCCGGAAUUACUGGGCGUAAAGCGUGGGUAGGUGGUCGGUGAUGUGCCGCGUGAAAGCGCCGGAGUAAUGCCGGCGAGGUCGCGGUAGACACACGGACUAGAGGCUCGCAGAGGAACGUGGAAUUCCCGGUGUAGUGGUGAAAUGCGUAGAUAUCGGGAGGAACACCAGUGGCGCAAGCGGCGUUCUGGGCGAGACCUGACACUGAGCCACGACGGCGUGGGGAGCAAACAGGAUUAGAUACCCUGGUAGUCCACGCAGUAAACGAUGCAUACCAGGUGUGGGAUGGCGUUCGCGUCGUUCCGUGCCGCAGCUUACG
rnacentral:rRNA from 1 species